rnacentral:rRNA from 2 species
UUAAGUUAUUAAGGGCGCACGGUGGAUGCCUUGGCACUAGAAGCCGAUGAAGGACGUUACUAACGACGAUAUGCUUUGGGGAGCUGUAAGUAAGCUUUGAUCCAGAGAUUUCCGAAUGGGGAAACCCAGCAUGAGUUAUGUCAUGUUAUCGAUAUGUGAAUACAUAGCAUAUCAGAAGGCACACCCGGAGAACUGAAACAUCUUAGUACCCGGAGGAAGAGAAAGAAAAUUCGAUUCCCUUAGUAGCGGCGAGCGAAACGGGAAGAGCCCAAACCAACAAGCUUGCUUGUUGGGGUUGUAGGACACUCUGUACGGAGUUACAAAGGACGACAUUAGACGAAUCAUCUGGAAAGAUGAAUCAAAGAAGGUAAUAAUCCUGUAGUCGAAAAUGUUGUCUCUCUUGAGUGGAUCCUGAGUACGACGGAGCACGUGAAAUUCCGUCGGAAUCUGGGAGGACCAUCUCCUAAGGCUAAAUACUCUCUAGUGACCGAUAGUGAACCAGUACCGUGAGGGAAAGGUGAAAAGCACCCCGGAAGGGGAGUGAAAUAGAACCUGAAACCGUGUGCUUACAAGUAGUCAGAGCCCGUUAAUGGGUGAUGGCGUGCCUUUUGUAGAAUGAACCGGCGAGUUACGAUUUGAUGCAAGGUUAAGCAGUAAAUGUGGAGCCGUAGCGAAAGCGAGUCUGAAUAGGGCGUUUAGUAUUUGGUCGUAGACCCGAAACCAGGUGAUCUACCCUUGGUCAGGUUGAAGUUCAGGUAACACUGAAUGGAGGACCGAACCGACUUACGUUGAAAAGUGAGCGGAUGAACUGAGGGUAGCGGAGAAAUUCCAAUCGAACCUGGAGAUAGCUGGUUCUCUCCGAAAUAGCUUUAGGGCUAGCCUCAAGUGAUGAUUAUUGGAGGUAGAGCACUGUUUGGACGAGGGGCCCCUCUCGGGUUACCGAAUUCAGACAAACUCCGAAUGCCAAUUAAUUUAACUUGGGAGUCAGAACAUGGGUGAUAAGGUCCGUGUUCGAAAGGGAAACAGCCCAGACCACCAGCUAAGGUCCCAAAAUAUAUGUUAAGUGGAAAAGGAUGUGGCGUUGCCCAGACAACUAGGAUGUUGGCUUAGAAGCAGCCAUCAUUUAAAGAGUGCGUAAUAGCUCACUAGUCGAGUGACACUGCGCCGAAAAUGUACCGGGGCUAAACAUAUUACCGAAGCUGUGGAUUGUCCUUUGGACAAUGGUAGGAGAGCGUUCUAAGGGCGUUGAAGCAUGAUCGUAAGGACAUGUGGAGCGCUUAGAAGUGAGAAUGCCGGUGUGAGUAGCGAAAGACGGGUGAGAAUCCCGUCCACCGAUUGACUAAGGUUUCCAGAGGAAGGCUCGUCCGCUCUGGGUUAGUCGGGUCCUAAGCUGAGGCCGACAGGCGUAGGCGAUGGAUAACAGGUUGAUAUUCCUGUACCACCUAUAAUCGUUUUAAUCGAUGGGGGGACGCAGUAGGAUAGGCGAAGCGUGCGAUUGGAUUGCACGUCUAAGCAAUAAGGCUGAGUAUUAGGCAAAUCCGGUACUCGUUAAGGCUGAGCUGUGAUGGGGAGAAGACAUUGUGUCUUCGAGUCGUUGAUUUCACACUGCCGAGAAAAGCCUCUAGAUAGAAAAUAGGUGCCCGUACCGCAAACCGACACAGGUAGUCAAGAUGAGAAUUCUAAGGUGAGCGAGCGAACUCUCGUUAAGGAACUCGGCAAAAUGACCCCGUAACUUCGGGAGAAGGGGUGCUCUUUAGGGUUAACGCCCAGAAGAGCCGCAGUGAAUAGGCCCAAGCGACUGUUUAUCAAAAACACAGGUCUCUGCUAAACCGUAAGGUGAUGUAUAGGGGCUGACGCCUGCCCGGUGCUGGAAGGUUAAGAGGAGUGGUUAGCUUCUGCGAAGCUACGAAUCGAAGCCCCAGUAAACGGCGGCCGUAACUAUAACGGUCCUAAGGUAGCGAAAUUCCUUGUCGGGUAAGUUCCGACCCGCACGAAAGGCGUAACGAUUUGGGCACUGUCUCAACGAGAGACUCGGUGAAAUCAUAGUACCUGUGAAGAUGCAGGUUACCCGCGACAGGACGGAAAGACCCCGUGGAGCUUUACUGUAGCCUGAUAUUGAAAUUCGGCACAGCUUGUACAGGAUAGGUAGGAGCCUUUGAAACGUGAGCGCUAGCUUACGUGGAGGCGCUGGUGGGAUACUACCCUAGCUGUGUUGGCUUUCUAACCCGCACCACUUAUCGUGGUGGGAGACAGUGUCAGGCGGGCAGUUUGACUGGGGCGGUCGCCUCCUAAAAGGUAACGGAGGCGCUCAAAGGUUCCCUCAGAAUGGUUGGAAAUCAUUCAUAGAGUGUAAAGGCAUAAGGGAGCUUGACUGCGAGACCUACAAGUCGAGCAGGGUCGAAAGACGGACUUAGUGAUCCGGUGGUUCCGCAUGGAAGGGCCAUCGCUCAACGGAUAAAAGCUACCCCGGGGAUAACAGGCUUAUCUCCCCCAAGAGUUCACAUCGACGGGGAGGUUUGGCACCUCGAUGUCGGCUCAUCGCAUCCUGGGGCUGUAGUCGGUCCCAAGGGUUGGGCUGUUCGCCCAUUAAAGCGGUACGCGAGCUGGGUUCAGAACGUCGUGAGACAGUUCGGUCCCUAUCCGUCGUGGGCGUAGGAAAUUUGAGAGGAGCUGUCCUUAGUACGAGAGGACCGGGAUGGACAUACCUCUGGUGUACCAGUUGUCGUGCCAACGGCAUAGCUGGGUAGCUAUGUGUGGACGGGAUAAGUGCUGAAAGCAUCUAAGCAUGAAGCCCCCCUCAAGAUGAGAUUUCCCAACUUCGGUUAUAAGAUCCCUCAAAGAUGAUGAGGUUAAUAGGUUCGAGGUGGAAGCAUGGUGACAUGUGGAGCUGACGAAUACUAAUCGAUCGAAGACUUAAUCAA